rnacentral:rRNA from 1 species
UACGUAGGGUGCGAGCGUUGUCCGGAAUUACUGGGCGUAAAGCGCACGUAGGCGGAUCGAUCAGUCAGGGGUGAAAUCCCAGGGCUCAACCCUGGAACUGCCUUUGAUACUGUCGAUCUGGAGUAUGGAAGAGGUGAGUGGAAUUCCGAGUGUAGAGGUGAAAUUCGUAGAUAUUGGGAAGAACACCAGUGGCGAAGGCGGCUCACUGGCCCGCAACUGACGCUGAGGCGCGAAAGCGUGGGGAGCAAACAGG